UGAGGAAUAUUGGUCAAUGGACGAGAGUCUGAACCAGCCAAGUAGCGUGCAGGAUGACGGCCCUAUGGGUUGUAAACUGCUUUUGUUUGGGAAUAAUCGACAUUACGUGUAAUGUUUUGCAUGUACCAUUCGAAUAAGGACCGGCUAAUUCCGUGCCAGCAGCCGCGGUAAUACGGAAGGUCCAGGCGUUAUCCGGAUUUAUUGGGUUUAAAGGGAGUGUAGGCGGUUGGUUAAGCGUGUUGUGAAAUGUAGAUGCUCAACAUCUGACUUGCAGCGCGAACUGGCUGACUUGAGUACACACAACGUAGGCGGAAUUCAUGGUGUAGCGAUGAAAUGCUUAGAUAUCAUGAAGAACUUCGAUUGCGAAGGCAGCUUACGGGAGUGUUACUGACGCUUAAGCUCGAAGGUGCGGGUAUCGAACAGG
rnacentral:rRNA from 1 species